CCUACGGGUGGCAGCAGUGGGGAAUAUUGCGCAAUGGGCGAAAGCCUGACGCAGCGACGCCGCGUGAGGGAUGAAGGUCUUCGGAUCGUAAACCUCUGUCAGCAGGGAAGAACGGUCACUGUGCUAAUCAGCAGUGAAUUGACGGUCCCUGCACAGGAAGCACGGGCUAACCCCGUGCCAGCAGCCGCGGUAAUACGGGGGGUGCGAGCGUUAAUCGGAAUGACUGGGCGUAAAGCGCUCGUAGGCGGGAUGUCAAUGCAAGGGUGAAAUCCCCGGGCUAAACGUGGGAACUGCCUUUGAAACUGGCAAACUGGAGUGUGUGAGAGGAUAGGGGAAUUCCAGGUGUAGGAGUGAAAUCCGGAGAUAUCUGGAGGAACAUCAGUGGCGAAGGCGACUAUCUGGCACAUAACUGACGCUGAGGAGCGAAAGCGUGGGUAGCAAACAGGAUUAGAUACCCGUGUAGUC
rnacentral:rRNA from 1 species